AUACGUAGGGGGCGAGCGUUGUCCGGAAUGAUUGGGCGUAAAGGGCGCGUAGGCGGCCCGGUAAGUCUGAAGUGAAAGUCCUGUUUUUAAGAUGGGAAUUGCUUUGGAUACUGUCGGGCUUGAGUGCAGGAGAGGUAAGUGGAAUUCCCAGUGUAGCGGUGAAAUGCGUAGAGAUUGGGAGGAACACCAGUGGCGAAGGCGACUUACUGGACUGUAACUGACGCUGAGGCGCGAAAGUGUGGGGAGCAAACAGGAUUAGAUACCCUGGUAGUCCACACUGUAAACGAUGAAUGCUAGGUGUAGGGGGUAUCGACCCCUUCUGUGCCGCAGUAAACACAAUAAGCAUUCCGCCUGGGGAGUACGGCCGCAAGGUUGAAACUUAAAGGAAUUGACGGGG
rnacentral:rRNA from 1 species